rnacentral:lncRNA from 1 species
UUCACUAAGUAUGGUUACACCUGAACAUAAACAUCCUUUGUAUCUAUUAUUAUGCAUCUAAAAAAACAUAACUGUUCAUCCUCAUAAAUUAGAUAUUCAAUUGAUCCUCUCCAAAGUUGUUCUCUUUGUCCUCAUGAAUAGCAUCAUUUUCCUCAAUAGUAUUAAUCUCUAUUGACAAUAGUAUAAAUGAUGUUACCACGAAGCCAGGAACUUUAACACGUAACUGAUGCAUAGAGUGAUGCCAAGACUACAAAAUAGAAUUGAAUUGUUGCUUAACAACUUUCAGCUUGUUCUGUAUCCUUUGCUCCAUUUUCA